CACUCUCCCUUACUUAAUCACGCCGUCCUUGGCCGCAAGCCACCGCGGCGGUGGCCGUCGCCGACGGUGGUCGUUGCCGGCGGCGGUGGCAGUCAAAACCUAACUCCUAAACACCUAUCUAUGCGCAGAGACGCGCUGAUGAUGAAAACAGGAUCCAUUUGAGGGAUUGAUUCUUGGAUCCACCGAAUCGAGAGGGUUUUGGGAGGAACCCUAGGAUUCUAAACUCAAAUUAAAUGGCCACCAACAAGAAUUGGUCCUCACUACCAUGGGGGUCGAUUUCCUAACCUAAGUACUACAGCUUAGCAUAUUCAAAGCAAGAAAACAUCACAUCAUGGCAAUGGACUUACCAGAGAAGAUGACCGGAAAAUUUCACAGGACUUGUGUUCAGUUUGGUGUAAUGUCAAGAUCAAUGUACAUUGUUGCAACACAAGCAAAUUCAUUGCAAGUCCACCGUGAUGGUUGUUGGCAUUGCUUGAUGACAGGUUUUGGUGGCUUGAUGCAAGCUUCACACUGUUGCAUUGUAGAAUUGUUUAUGUAUUUCUAUUCUAACUUGUAGAGUGGCUGCAUAUUUUUGUGUGCUUUGAAUUGAUGUUUGUUGAGAAAUGAAUUAUGGUUUGUAGAAUUGAUUGCUUCAUGUUACUACUCAUGGUGAGUUAUCCAAUACUCUGACUUAGUUUGCCUUGCAGUCACAAUUUCAAUAUGUUAAAUCAGGUCAGUCUGGAAUUCACUCUUGAGCUGAUUAUGCCAUGCCUUGUUUUCUAUGUAAUGGUAGAAACCCUGUUGACUGAACUUGAUGAUAGAUACAAUAGGUAAUCUACUGCAGGAUUGCCUUGCUUGGCUUGAUCAUUGAUGUUGGAUUGCAGGACUGAUGCAGAUCUGUGGCCCUGUUUGGCCUUCUUGAUUUUUGUUGUAACAUGAACAACCUGGCCUUCUGGAUGAAGCUUGCAAUAGGUCUUGUUUUCUCAUGUUGAUGAAAGUGACUUUGCUGAUUUAAGUCCAAUUACGCUUGGAGAUAUGUGCCAAGAUGGAUGAAUAUUGCUGCAUUUUGAGUGCAACUUGGAUACACAAUUCAGAAGCUGGCCCUGACCUGGCUUGUGCGCUACAAGUUAUGAGUUUCUAUCCUGACUUAGAUUACUGUACACUGAAUUGUUUCUUGCUGUAGAUGCUUGUUGUAUGUUGGAGAUUCUGGUUUGGUUUAUUGCAGCAUGUCCUGAUGUCUCAAGCUGCUGAAAUGCAAUUUCCCGGGUGUUCUUGGUGCUGGCUUGAUGCAGGAUCAAUUCUCUUAUGUUUCCAUAUUGUGGAUCAUGAUGAUUUGCAUGAAUGUCAUGAGGACCCUGGUUGUUGCAAGAUCAUGAUGGCAGAAUGUUAAAUGGCAAAUGCAUUGCAGGUUGGCAUGUUCCAUGAUGUAGGUUGGUUAAAUGGUUUGUCAUGGCUACUUAGUGUAUUGCAAGUUUGCUGUUUCAUUCAUGACUUGGCCUAUUGGAUAAUUUUGCUGCAUAUUUGGUCUUGGCAAGGAUGUGAGUUUGAGUAUUGGUCAGGUUUAUGCUUGGUCUGCUACAAGGUCUGUCUUGGUCAAUUGUAUUGUCAGGUUCAUGUGUAAUAUUCAUGGCUUGGCUUUUAUGUUAGUCAUGAUUUGUUUUGUGCAAGUUAGGCAUUGCAGCAAGAUGGAAGUUAAUGGUCAAAGCAAACUCCAAAGGUUCAAGGUAUGGCCAAGCAUCAACAAAGAAGAAAUCAAACUCACAUGGUUAGAUCAAGGAGAAAAUGGACAUGGAGAAAUGGAAUGAGAGUUAGGGCCAGCCACUUAGUGAUUAGGGAUGACCAAUGGCAUAGGUUUGACUUUGGUCAAAGUUGACCAAAAAGUCAAUUGUUGACCAAAGUCAACAAAUGGUCAAAAUUCAAUUUUACUUGCAUUUUUCUUGUAAAUGGACAAAGAAUUAUUGGUCAGGGUGAAAUUUAGGGGUUUUGGACUUUGGGUUGACUUUGGUCAAAGUUGACCAAAAAGUCAACUAUUGACCAAAGUCAACAUUUGGUCAAAAAUGUCAAGACUUGUAUUUUCUUAUGUAAAAUCAAAUGUAAUGGUUUAAAAUGAAAUGAAAUGGAU